rnacentral:misc_RNA from 1 species
AAGGAUCAUUACCGAGUCACGCACUCAAACAACCCUUCUGUGGACCUGAAUUAAACCGUUGCCUCGGCGGGCGGUCCCCUGCCAAACCCACGUGGUGGGCAGGGGACCAGACAGUCCGGCACGCCUAAGGCGUCCGGCGCCAGCCGCUGGCCCCAAACAAUUAAACUCUAGUAACCUAUACCUUCUGAGUUUUAAUAUUUAAAAAAUAAGUCAAAACUUUCAACAACGGAUCUCUUGGCUCUG